CGCACCUAGGCCUCUUCCGUGGUGGCCCCAAUACGUCAAGCCCUUCCUCAGAACUUCCUCCUUCCCUCUCUUUGGUCACGACCGCACUACCCGCCCGGAAUCCGGCGCUAAUAAUCUGCAACCACUAUCAAUUAAUCAUGCGGCAUCUCCUUCACAAUGCAUGCCAUCCUCAAAGGCCGCGCCUCCGUCCUCUCGCUCGCACUACGACCAUAGCCGGCGCAAAGACGCAUCUGUCGGCCACACACGGAUCUGGGAUAAGCGCCUGAGCCGUCAUGCCGCCGACUGCGUCAGCGCGCCGACGGACAGGUCGCAGUCUCCGUCGCUCUCGUCCGAUUUCAACCAUGUGAUGACCUUGAGCUGUGGCGUUGGAAGAAGGACCGGUGCGAGGGGAUUGGUGUAGACUGGUCCAAUCAAGGAGCCAAGAUGAGGGCACGGCGCUCGCCAUCUCCCGCCUCACGUAGCAGGCGUGCCGCUCGAGUCCGCCAUUUAGGUCAACGGCAUCAAGUCCUUCAGCGUGCAGCCGUGGAUCAGCUACUCCACCGUGACGAUGUGCAAGGCGUUGAUGUACUGUCCUGUAAGCUCAAUUCUGGCCUCAUAGAUACAAUGGGACGAGGGGGAUUAUGAAGGAGUGAUCGUUUCUGCAGGAGGUCCUGCACACUCACAACCUCAAGCGGAGGGGCGGAUUUUGAUAGGCUACUACAGACUUCAUGUUUUCUUAGCGUGGAUGUGCUGGUGAGGCAGUACAACAAUACCCCGAGCAAGUUCUUGACCGACUUCAUGUCAGCAAUGGUGAAGAUGGGAAGCCCUGCGGCCGUCAUGUGGUAUGCAGACUGAUAUCAGUUUUGAAUCUGGAGGGGGAGAAGUCCGCACCCUGUUUGCCACACACAUGUAAGCUUGAACCAUUGAAGGGGACUACUACAAUGGACGCGAUAAAGAUAUUUGCUUCCUGGAGGAACAGUAUAAUCUUUCCUAUUGUACCCUAUCAUUUCCAUGAUUACAUGUGGUUACUUUGGUCACACUCUUAUAACCUUUUGUAACUUUCAGGUUCCAUGUCCAAACAUUGAGUGGCAAUCAGAAUGUCGUAACCGACUAUGUUCAAAAUUGAAGGGGCUGCCUGCCGGAUGACCCUUGCAGUACAGACAAUCUUAAUAGUAGCAUUUUUAGUCCAACUAUUCUGUUUUAGGGCGUACGGUGAAAUUUUCCUUACAUAGCAUUUCAGAGCCUGUUUGGAUAAGUGAGCGUGUUCAUUUAUUAUUUUAUAAUUUGGUGUUGAUUUUGUUAUUUUUCUACAGUUCUUGCCGCAUUGCUCAUGCUCCUUCAGUAUGUAUGUGCUCAAUUCCCAUGGUCCGCAAUGCAACUUCUUAUUUGUAGCACCAUCUAUAUAUUCAUGUUAUUUUGUAUUUGAUAGAUAAAUAAUGCUCACUACGUGCUCCACUAAAGUGAUGAGUAAGUGAAUGGAAAGUUAGGCUAUGGUGUUCUCGCAUGAAUUUUCUACUUUUUUGAACUUCAUAAUCAGGAUCAGCAGCUAAUUAUGUCCACAUGCAUAGAACACUUUGUUUACCUGAAUAAUUUUUGGUUUAUCAUGUGCAAAAAUUCUCAUGGGUGCUAACUCCUACUUUGUCUAUUUUAGUCAUUAUCUACACUACUUAAAAAGGAGGAACCUGUUCCUUAUUCUGCCAUUCUCCUCAAUACGUCAAAGAUUUCGUCGUACCGGUGGUAGUCUCGUUCCACGCACCUAGGCCUCUUCCGUGGUGGCCCCAAUACGUCAAGCCCUUCCUCAGAACUUCCUCCUUCCCUCUCUUUGGUCACGACCGCACUACCCGCCCGGAAUCCGGCGCUAAUAAUCUGCAACCACUAUCAAUUAAUCAUGCGGCAUCUCCUUCACAAUGCAUGCCAUCCUCAAAGGCCGCGCCUCCGUCCUCUCGCUCGCACUACGACCAUAGCCGGCGCAAAGACGCAUCUGUCGGCCACACACGGAUCUGGGAUAAGCGCCUGAGCCGUCAUGCCGCCGACUGCGUCAGCGCGCCGACGGACAGGUCGCAGUCUCCGUCGCUCUCGUCCGAUUUCAACCAUGUGAUGACCUUGAGCUGUGGCGUUGGAAGAUGGACCGGUGCGAGGGGAUUGGUGUAGACUGGUCCAAUCAAGGAGCCAAGAUGAGGGCACGGCGCUCGCCAUCUCCCGCCUCACGUAGCAGGCGUGCCGCUCGAGUCCGCCAUUUAGGUCAACGGCAUCAAGUCCUUCAGCGUGCAGCCGUGGAUCAGCUACUCCACCGUGACGAUGUGCAAGGCGUUGAUGUACUGUCCUGUAAGCUCAAUUCUGGCCUCAUAGAUACAAUGGGACGAGGGGGAUUAUGAAGGAGUGAUCGUUUCUGCAGGAGGUCCUGCACACUCACAACCUCAAGCGGAGGGGCAGAUUUUGAUAGGCUACUACAGUUUAAGCACCAUCCUAUUUUUAUAUUAUCUGCAUAAUUUACUAGGGGAUGUGCAGAUUUUGUGGUUAAUGCCACAUUGAGAGUACCCCGGCGUAUUAUUUCCAAAAAUGCAGUUAAUGCCACAUUGAGACUACCCGGCGUUGUUUGUCUAAUAUGUUGCCAUUAUCUGUUUGUGUUUACUUCCCAUAUGCCCAAAUUGUAAAUGCAGCAACCAUUUAUUUUCUUGUGAUAAUAUAGUUGAUCUAUGCAUGAAAUGUUCAACAUGUGUAUAGUUAUAAUUUUUUUAAAGUACCUGGUUCUAUGUUAAUGAUAUCUUAUUGUCAAACACAUUAUGGCACAGCUGCCUGUGCACCUCGGCGAGGUGGCCUGAAACAUGCACGCCGCUGCCAGUAUCCUGCCUCUCUGCUCCGCCACUACCACAUUUUUUUUCUCUACAAUAAGUUUGAUGUAUGUCCUCAUUUUUUCUUCUGAUUGCAAUAUGAUUUUGCGGAAUUCGGGUCACAGACCUUCGUGACACUAGGGAAGAAAACAACAUGUGAUGUCCAAGUGUUUGUGGGCUUAGGGAUACCCUGCUGGAUAUUGUUGCGGAAUGCAUGGGAGUUCGUUGUCACUUUCCUGAGAUCCUAUCACUGCGUAUUUAGCCAUGAUGAGCACCUGCACUCGCUAACAUUGCUUAAAAGCUUCCUUUUAUAUGUUGCAUUUCUGUUUGAUGCAUGUAUUUGCAAUUUGUAUGUCCAAUUCAUUCCAUAAUGUCAAACCAUUUGUGCCAAAUAGUACACAAUUAGUUGAGUUAAACAUAAGUUUGCAAUAUAUAAGCUCCACUUUCAGUUUCUCUUACCCAGGCAAGGAAGUUGUAUAUAUUUUCACUUUUACAUUAACUAUGACCUAAUGAUAAUGCUUCAAUCUGGUGUCUUUGUGUUCUUGUAUAUUGGAUCUGUUCUCUAAGAUAUAUAUUCUAUGAUUAGAGUUGGCAUCAGGUAUUCAACACAAGUUGCAUGCUUCAUGAUGCAGACUUGAUGUUUUCUUAGCGUGGAUGUGCUGGUGAGGCAGUACAACAAUACCCCGAGCAAGUUCUUGACCGACUUCAUGUCAGCAAUGGUGAAGAUGGGAAGCCCUACGGCCGUCAUGUGGGAUGCAGACUGAUAUCAGUUUUGAAUCUGGAGGGGGAGAAGUCCGCACCCUGUUUGCCACACACAUGUAAGCUUGAACCAUUGAAGGGGACUACUACAAUGGACGCGAUAAAGAUAUUUGCUUCCUGGAGGAACAGUAUAAUCUUUCCUAUUGUACCCUAUCAUUUCCAUGAUUACAUGUGGUUACUUUGGUCACACUCUUAUAACCUUUUGUAACUUUCAGGUUCCAUGUCCAAACAUUGAGUGGCAAUCAGAAUGUCGUAACCGACUAUGUUCAAAAUUGAAGGGGCUGCCUGCCGGAUGACCCUUGCAGUACAGACAAUCUUAAUAGUAGCAUUUUUAGUCCAACUAUUCUGUUUUAGGGCGUACGGUGAAAUUUUCCUUACAUAGCAUUUCAGAGCCUGUUUGGAUAAGUGAGCGUGUUCAUUUAUUAUUGUAUAA